GGAUAGGGCAUCCAUCUCCACUCUGGGCAACCUGUGCCAGUCUUUCACCACCCUCAUAAUAAAAAAACUUUGUCCUUAAGUCCAGUCAGCCUCCUGCUGGUGUCUGCAGAUGGCAUCUGGGGGCGCAGCUUCCCUGUCUCUCCUACACACAUCCACUUCUUGAUUUCUGAAGGCCCAAGAAACCAUCAGUGCCAUAACUCACAUAGUACUGGGAGAUUCUGUGGUGACACCCAGUACUGUAUGCAAUUCAGAACCUACUUUGAAGUGUACUACUUAUGCUGUGAAGCAAACCAGACCUGCACCUGCUUACACCGCUACAUUUAUACCUUUUUCUAAAUGGCUGUUUCAUUAGCAAUCGUUCACUCUACUUUAAAGGGUGUAAACAGACAGAUGGCUUCACUACAUUAAUCACCUUCACAUGAAGAUAGAUUUGCCUUCUGCAAAAGUGAAAUUUGUGCCUUCUUUUGCUUACUCCUAAAAACAGGAAUGUGUAUGCAAAUUUCCAAUCUCCCAGCAGCUACAAUAAAUUACUCUGGGGCACUUGAACCCUUUCCAGCUUGAUCCAGAAGUUCAAAGAAAAGGUAAAUAACUCUCUUAUAUUUCUUUUAUUAUUUUUUUUCCCCAAAAGGUGAGGCAGGUGCACUCAACAGCUUGAGAAAAGGCUUUAACCCCAUGUUAACAGAUUUGAGGGUGCUGUGAUUUUGAUUCCAUACCACCUCCUUGGACAUAAAUUGCUAUUCAUUAAACAGGCAAACAUGUAAAUGACACAAGUACAAAUAAGCCCCCAGAUCUAGACUGGUGACUAAAGAUGUUAUUGCCCUUUAUAUCAGAAACAAUCCAAGCAGAAGCCCUGGGUAAAUCUUCAGCUGAGAUUUGUUGCCUCUGAUUGUUAUAGUCAGUCCCAUUCAGCCCCUUUCCCUAUAUAAACCCCAGGCCUGAAACUGUUGCUGUAGGGGUGAUGUGUCUGGGGGAGGAGGUGUUUCUCUGUAAAGUCAGUUCUUGUCACUUGGAGGAAGAACAGAUGGGUAUAGUGUGGAGUCUGAGCUCAGUGCAGGAGAAAUGAAAUGCAAGAGUGAGGCUGCUGGUGAUUCUUGGGACAGAAGGGAGGUCUACAUUUUGGUCUGUGAAUGUCUGUCUCAACUGGAUGACUUCAGAAAGCCUUGUAUUGCCCUGCCAGUUUCCAACGGGAGAUGAAAACCAUAUUGUUGUGCCUAUGUUUGAAAAUGGAGACUGAGUUAAGGUUUGGCAUUACUGGCUUCUGAGAACACACCUAAAGUCUGCCUGUGAAGUAGAUUGAGCCAGUCUGUGUUUUGCCUUUCCCCUAAAAUCCUGGUAGGUUUUGAGGCUUUGAAAACAUAUGAGCUCCCUUGUGCUCAGGUGAGACUUUGCAGCUUUCUGCAGUGUGCUCCCUGGAAGAUGCCAGAUAUAAUGCUGACUUGUCAAAGGGGAACCUGAGCACCAGGUGAAGCUGGAGUCCCAUGAAAAAUCACCCAUGAUCCUGCAAGAACUUCAGUGCUCAAUUUGCAACACUGUGGACAAAAAUUAGUGCUGGUUCUUUGAUUUAUGAGGUUUGGACUUUUCAACUAUAAAGAUGUUCUUAAAACCUUUGUGUAUGUUUGGGUCAACAGGGUCCAGUUACUUGCAUCAUCUGUUGUUUGACUGUCUUGAUGAUUUCUAAGCCAACACUGCGUAAUUCAACAACCACAAGGUUUUUAUUGCUCUCCAAUAAGAAUAAUCCAAUAAGAAUAAGGCACGUGUGGCCUUACAAGCUUGUUUGGUCCAAGCAGAGUCUCAUCUUUCGGUGGUAUCCAUUUCUUCUCUCUGCUCUUUCUGAAGUUUUUGUUAGAGCUUAUCGUUUUGCUCAGAUCCACUCUGAGAACCGUCUCCAUUGUGAUGUGGCUGGAGAUGGACAAGAAGGGAUGAGUUGCUCUCAAAUCACUCUGUGCCUGCGAAGACCUACUCCCUUCCUGCAACAGAAAUUUUUGUUCACAUAUCUAAUCAACUGUAAACAACUGAAGAACAGGGCUAAAAACUUUGUCUCUAAAAAUAAGGUAAUGAAAAUACCCUAUUAAAAAUACCAUGCUAUAUUGGUGGUACAGCUGCAAAGGAUUUACAAAAAUUAAUUGUGCUACUAUUAUAAAAAUAUCAGCAUUGAAGUUGGUGCCAGUGUAUUUUGGUCUGGGAUACUACAUAUUCAGCUGUCUGGUAUUUUCAGAAAAAGCGAUCUACUUACUCUCUUCCUAUAUAGAAACCUUUUCCUGUCACUAUAUAUGCCUCAUUUAGAAUGCUUAAUUUGGAAAUUGUGUCCAUAAUGCAAAAGUACGAAUUCCUACUUGAAAAUAGUCUUGGCUUCUUUGAUCCAGAAGUUCCAAGAAAACAAAUAAGUCACAGUUUCUUCCUUCAUUGGGAGCUAAAGAGCACUGGAAAAUCUUGAUUAUAUCCAGGAAAAAAUAAAGUGGGAAAUAAUGCAAUUUCUAUCAGUGAUGUUAAAUAUCUCCUGAGUCUAGAAUCCCUUUUUAAAAUGAAAAUCAGUAACAAAUACUAUCAAGUUUAAAUUGCUCCUUUGUUUCACUUGUUUUAAGUAUGCUAUUUGAUAGGAGACUCGAGAUACUUAAACACAGAAGGCAGUGUGUUCAAAGUUGGUGAAAACUUUGAAAUGCUAGAACAAUGGGAGAAAAUAUUGAUAAGAUUUUUAAUGUGUGAGAAGAAGUCUCCUUACUCCAAGGUGGAGAUUUAAUGUGGUUUCAGCUACUGACCACCGGUAGCUUACCUGUUAUCUGGUAUGAAAGUGGAGAAGUGAAUCUUUCUUUGAUGAGGUAUUGGAACAGUCUAUCCUGGAAGAUGGUGGAUCUGCAGUCCCUGGAGGUUUUCAAGAAAAGGGUAGAUGUCACACUGAGUGAUGUGGUCUAGAGCAGUCACAGGCAUGGCUUGAUGGUUGGACUGGAUGAUUUUAUUGGUCUUUCCAAACUUUGCAGUUCUGUGAUUCUGCAACCUCCUUCUGCUGUGGCCAGAAGAUAAUUCUGAAGAAUCUGAACAAAAACAUUAAGUACUGAAGAAGGAAUAUCUGGAAAUGCAUUUUUCUGUUUGCAGAAUGCUUCUGUGAAAUCUUGCCUGAGAGGCUGGAAGCAAAAAUGGAUGAGAAAGAUCUUCCUAGGUCUAACAAACUAAGGAAUGAAGCAUCUACCCCAGUUGCUGAGAGAACUGUGGAAAUGGAUUUGAAAGAAGACUGGCCUCGUGUGCAGCUCCUUGUGGCUCAGGAGCAAAAUACUUCUUAGAUGACUGUGCUGGGUCUUCCAGAUGCAGAGGUGUUUUAAGGGAAAUGUGUGCAGAUUUUGUCCCACCGAAAGAUGUCCUACAAGAUGCUGAGUUUUGGCCUCUUCUUCCUAUGCAGGAUGGUGACAGUGAGCACUACCAAGGAGGCCAAGUGUUCCUGGGUGGUACAAAGGAAUGUUGUUUCACAUAGGAUAAUCAGACCUUUCCAUGUUUCACAGAAAUAAUCUUUUAUCUCCCUUUAUAGAUGGAGUGAGAGCCUGUGGGAGUGGGUGUCUCUGCUUCCUGCCUGGACUGCAAAAUACUCCAUCAAUGAUGAGAUUAACUAAAAAUGAAAAUAAGUGGAUUUUCUCUAAGUCUGUUUUUUCUUUCACAAGCUUCUUUUGAGGUGGAAAUUUACUGUGCUACUCUUGGCAGUUUGGCCUAUUUGGUAACUGUAGUCUUCUCAUCUGGUGGGCCAUUCCCAUGGUUCCCAUGCUGUACUUCAUUCUUCCUAUUGUAUUUUCCAUUCAUGUAUUACUUUCCUAAUAACUGCUUCUGUCUUCAGUUAAUAUUUCCUUGUGUGUUUGGCCAGCUUUCUCUGCAUUCCUGGUGUGGUAUAUGCCAUGCCAUCAAUGGAACAAGGUAGCACAGCUUUACAUGCUGGGUGUGGGGUUGCUCCUUCAGAGCAGUUCACCUCAGUUGCACAUUUCAGAUUUCUCCAGCUCUGUUUUGUGGUGGAUCUCUUCUAUAGCUGUGACUUAUUGAAAUGGAUGCUAUCAGAUCUCACAAGCAGUUGCAGUCAUUCUGGCUUUGGUGAGGCACCUUUCCCAGACAGAGUUUCUGGAGCUCUGUGGUCUGGAGCACUUACUCUGUCUUGUGGUUCAGUGAGGCUCUCUUCUGUUCCUUGCUCCUGCCUGGACGUUUUCCCUUGUCUGCUUUAACUAAGUGUCCUAAGGAAUCUCACUGGUCUAUAUGGUCAUUUGUGGGUUGGCAGUUUUGUCACUUUGAACUGUGCUUUUUUCAAAACUUAUUCAAAACCUGAGAAAACCUUAUUCAAAAACUUGAAACCUUAUUCAAAACCUCCCUAACUACAUCUAUGAGGAAAUAAUGGGCCCAGCUAGAGGUUGAAGGCAGACAAUGGUCAUUACAGUUUCUUUCACAUCCAGCAAAAACUGAUGGUUUCAGAGAUGGAGGCCCUCUGAUUUUAGCCAAUUGUUCUCAAAGACAUGCUGUAAUCCUUUCCAUUUCUUGUAUUUCUUAAUUGCAUUUGAUAGGUUGGUAACUUUCUUUAACCAGAGCAAUGUGUUAAACAUUUUUUUGGCUGCCACAGAGAGAAAUCUAAACAAAUAUUUUGCUGAACUGGGUUCCAAGAGUUUUGGUACAUAGCCUAACACCAUAUAUUGUGGUGUGCAGGGAAAACAGUUUGCCAAAGGGAACUCAAUAGCAGCAAGGAUCUUCUGCCAAAAUAUCUUGAUUCUGGGGCUGGACCAGGAAACUCACAUGGGUCCUGUUCUGCUCGGGCCGAAGUCAGAGGCUCUGGAGAUAUAUGUACCAUUGCUCACUCCUGUACUUAUCCUAGAAGGGGAAUCACUUUCCUCAUCUCUUACACCACCUUAAA